rnacentral:rRNA from 1 species
UCGCAUUGGUCUCAAACCAAUGACAUGCAUUUCGAAAACCAUGAGUUCGAGGUGGACGAGGAGGGUGAGGGCAUUGUCGACGCACCGAAAGGAAGAGCGGGCAAUUACACCAACGCCGAUGACAUCUUACUAUGCAAUACUUGGUUGCAAGUGUCGAGAGAUCCAUCCGUUGGAGGUGAUCAAAGUACAGAUGCUUAUUGGCUUCGGAUGAAGGAACACUUUGAUGUUCGCAACGUGAGUGGAAUUGACCGCUCCGACCAAUCACUUCGGUCCCGGUGGUCAACAAUCAACUCGAAUUGUCAAAGGUGGGCGGCCUGUCAAAAGGCGGUUGACAAGUUGAACCCAAGUGGCACAAAUGAGGACGAUAGAAACUUGUUCAAAGAAGAGGAGAGGAAAACCAAGAAGGGGAAGAUCAAGAAAGGAAGGAAAUUUACUUUGCCUCAUUGCUAUGAAGUGUUGAAGGAUGAUGAGAAAUGGAAGAAGUGUGAAGAUUUGGAUGAUUUGCAUUUGAGCAACAAAUGGAAGCGAACAAUUAAGUUGGAUGAUGAUGAGGAUGAUGCAUCAAGUGAUGACGGCAAGAGAAGCCCCACACCCAACUCGGUUUCAUACUCGAAGCCAAAGCGACCGGAUGGGUGCAAGAAAGACAAAACCGAAAAGAAGAAGAGGAAAGGAGAUGAUGAGCUCAAAAAUGCUAUGAAAGCUAUUGUGAUGGCAAGAAAAGAAGCCAGCGAGGUGAGGAAAAUGGCAAGGAACCAAGAUGCCGCGGCCGAGGAGAGGAGGUUGGCGGCCAAGGAGAGGAGGGCGGCGGCCGAGGAGAGGAAGGUGGCUUUGGAGGAGAGGAAGGUGAGCAAUGAGAAGCGAACAAGAUUGUUGGAAUGGGAGAAGCACUUGUUCUUCUUGGACACAUCUAUCCUCAAUGAGGUGCAAAAGGAGUAUGCCAAUCUUGUCCGUGAAGAAGUCUUGAUCCAAAAAAGAGCC